rnacentral:piRNA from 1 species
UAGCGGCCAUUCAGAGCAACCA